GUGGGCUAUGGGGACAUGGUCCCAACAACCAUCGGUGGGAAGAUUGUGGGGUCUCUCUGCGCCAUCGCUGGUGUGCUGACUAUUGCCCUGCCUGUUCCUGUCAUUGUCUCCAAU